AGCUGAAACUUAAAGGAAUUGACGGAAGCGCACACAAGAAAUGGGGCCUGCGGCUUAAUUUGACUCAACACGGUGCAACUCUCCCGGCCCGGACACAGGAAGGAUUGACAGAUUGAGAGCUCUUUCUUGAUUCUGUGACAGGUGGUGCAUGGCCGUUUCUAGUUGGUGGAGUGAUUUGUCUGCUUUAUUGCGAUAACGAGCGAGACUCUAGCCUGCUAACUAGGGCGCCCCUCACUCUAUACGCGAGGGGUCGUCUUCUUAGAGGGACAAGCGGUGUUCAGCCGCACGAAACGGAGCAAAAACAGGUCAGGAUGCCCUUAGAUGUUCGGGGCCGCACGCGCGCCACAUUGAAGGAGACGACGUGUUUUCUCCUGCGCCGAGAGGCGCGGGUAAUCCGUUGAAACUCCUUCGUGCUGGGGAUUGGGACUUGCAAUUGUUUCCCAUGAACGAGGAAUUCCUAGUAAGCAUCGAGUCAUCAGCUCGUGUUGAUUACGUCCCUGCGCUUUGUGCACACCGCCCGUCGCUAUUAUCGAUGAAUUUUGGAGUGAGAUCAUCGGACUGGUCUCCUUUUUGGCCCAUCCGGGUCGAUGGGGAGCGCUGGAAAGAUGACCGAACUUGAAUAUUAGAG
rnacentral:rRNA from 1 species